GGUGUGUCGUGAGGCAUGCUGGAGGUAUCAGAAGUGCGAAUGCUGACAUAAGUAACGAUAAAGCGGGUGAAAAGCCCGCUCGCCGGAAGACCAAGGGUUCCUGUCCAACGUUAAUCGGGGCAGGGUGAGUCGACCCCUAAGGCGAGGCCGAAAGGCGUAGUCGAUGGGAAACGGGUUAAUAUUCCCGUACUUGGUGUUACUGCGAAGGGGGGACGGAGAAGGCUAUGUUGGCCGGGCGACGGUUGUCCCGGUUUAAGCGUGUAGGUGUGUGUUCCAGGUAAAUCCGGUUCACUUUAACACUGAGGCGUGACGACGAGGCACUACGGUGCUGAAGCAACAAAUGCCCUGCUUCCAGGAAAAGCCUCUAAGCAUCAGGUAACAUCAAAUCGUACCCCAAACCGACACAGGUGGUCAGGUAGAGAAUACCAAGGCGCUUGAGAGAACUCGGGUGAAGGAACUAGGCAAAAUGGUGCCGUAACUUCGGGAGAAGGCACGCUGACAC
rnacentral:rRNA from 1 species